CUCUCCCUCAAAGGCUUCUG
rnacentral:miRNA from 1 species